rnacentral:rRNA from 1 species
AAAAACUAUGAGAGUGUAGAAAUACAUUUAGCAAUAGUAUCUUUCAAUAGAAGAAGUAAAUAUGUUAGGACCCGAAAGAUGGUGAACUAUACUUGAACGGAUUGAAGCCGAAGGAAACUUUGGUGGAAGAUUCACGCAGUGUUAACGUGCAAAUUACUUGUCAUAUUUGAGUAUAGGGGCGAAAGACUCAUCGAACUAUCUAGUAGCUGGUUCCACCUGAAUAUUCCCUUAGGAAGGUCAAAGUAUUAAUAGUAUUGAUUGGUAAAGAUAAUGAUUAGGUGUAAUGGGUGAGUAUUUUCACUCAACAUCUUGUCAAACUAUGAAUAAACAAAGAAGAAUUCUCAGUGUUAAAUACACUUCAGGAAUUUAAAUAUAAACAUACUUUGAAUCGGCCAAGUCUGGUAAGCAGGACUGGCGAUGCGGGAUGAACCGAACGUCGAGAUAAAGUGCCAAAAAGAAACAUAACGAGUACCACAAAAGGUAUUCAUUCAUAUUGACAAUAGGACGGUGGCCAUGGAAGUCGGAAACCGCUAAGGAAUGUGUAACAACUCACCUAUCGAAUGAAUGAGUCCUGAAAAUGGAUGGCAUUAUAAUUUCUUAACUGAUACUCGACCGUUAAAAUGAAGACAUUUUAACGAGUAAGGAAACGAAAUGGCGUAAGGACAACAAAAGUAGUAAAGAUUUAAAGUAAUUUAUAUUGAAACUGUCCUUAGUGCAGAUCUUGGUGGUAGUAGCAAAUACUAAGAAGAGGAAAAAAACAUCUUACAACUGAAGAGGAGAAAGGUUCCUAAACAACAUUACUUGGAUUAGGGUGAAUCGAUCCUAAAUUACAGAUGGAAAUCCUUAAGAAAUAUAUAAGUGACAUAUAGUCAAUAUAAGGAUUGAAAGGGAAUAAGAUUAAUAGUUCUUAAUCAAGAGAAUUAAUGAUUAAAUCUUAAAAAUAAGAUUAAAUCGAAUAAAAUGGUAACAUAUCAUGAACUUUAAAAUGGAGUGUGAAAAUCUACGGAAGAGUUCUCUUUUCUUCUUAACAAAAGUAAACUCCACUGAAAUGAAUCAAUCAAAGAAGUGGAAUUUAUUGGCUUUGUAAGAAAUUCAACAUAUGAUUGAAUUGUGGUAUUUUUGCAGUCUUCAUAAAAAUUAAAGGGAAUCUUAGCAUAAAGCUAAUUAAAGAAUUCUUUUGCUCGUACUAAUAACCGCAACAGGUCUCCAAGAAGCAAAAUCUUUAGUUAAAUAGAAUAACGCAGGUAAGGGAAGUCGGCAACAUAGCUCUGUAAGUUAGCAAGAAAGAGUAGCUCUGGUGAUUUCCUUGUAAAAGGAUUAAAAUCGAAUCAGAACUUUAAAGGUUAGGGGAAUCCGACUGUUUAAUAAAAACAUAGCAUUCUGAUAAAUCUAAAAGGUUCAUUACAGAAUGUGAUUUCUGCCCAGUGCUCUGAAUGUCAAGGUAAUGAAAUUUACUUAAGCGCGGGUUAACGGCGGGAGUAACUAUGACUCUCUUAAGGUAGCCAAAUGCCUCGUCAUCUAAUUAGUGACGCGCAUGAAUGGAUCACCGUGAUUCCCACUGUCCCUAUCUGCAAUCUAGUGAAACCACAGUCAAGGGAACGGGCUUGAUUGGAACGGCGGGGAAAGAAGACCCUGUUGAGCUUGACUCUAAUUUAUCAUGUGAAAUCGAUUUUUUGGUAUAGGCUAGGUGGGAGACUUUGUCAAACGUGUAAUACCACCACUAGAAAUACUAUUUCACUCAUUUCGUUAAAUGUUAAAAUGGAUUUUCCAUUAAUUUAAAAACAUUAAAACUUCGGUUGAAACAGGCGAUUGAAAAAGAUAGACGGGGAGUUUGGCUGGGGCGGCACAUCUGUUACAAGAUAACGCAGGUGUCCAAAGAUGAACUCAAUGAGGACAGAAACCUCAUGUAGAAUAUAAGGGUAUAAGUUCAUUUGAUUAUUGAUUCCAGUACAAUCAAUAACUCUGAAAUGAUGGCCUAACGAUCCCUAAGAUUUUUAACUAGAAAAAAUUUAAAACAUAUUAGAUUUAUCUGAUGUGUGAGACCGUAAGGUGAUUUCUAGUUAAUCCUUUAAUAAUAAGGCUUGGGGUGUCAGAAAAGUUACCACAGGGAUAACUGGCUUGUGGCAGCCAAGCGCUCAUAGCGACGUUGCUUUUUGAUCCUUCGAUGUCGGCUCUUCCUAUCCAUUUCAAGCAGAAUUGAAAAAAGGUAUGAUUGUUCACCAUUUAAUAGGGAACGUGAGCUGGGUUUAGACCGUCGUGAGACAGGUUAGUUUUACCCUACCGUUUCGGUAGAUCUUCAAAGUAUUUAGAUAGUAGCACAACUCAGUACGAGAGGAACCGUUGUGUCACGCCACUGGAUUAUUCAAUUAUUUGAUCAAAUAGUGUUGAGAAUCUAACACGUGUUGAAAUAAUGGCUGAAAGCCUCUCAAGCCAGAAUUUCGUCUAGAUGAAUACUUUGUCUUUUUCUUGUUACUUUAGUACAAUUGAAAAUUAUAUACGUUGUAUUUAUUAUCUCGUGUAUUACUCUAUCAAAAGGGUAGUGAAUACUGAGUUAACAAAAUUCAAAGCAUAACUGUU